AUGGCGGACGGCGGCGGCGGCGGCGGCGGCGGGGGACCCGGCGCGGUGGGCCACAGCGGAGCGGGCCAGGCCUCUGCCGGGGCAGCGACUGCCGCUACGGGGCCAGCGGGAGCGGUGGCCCCCUCAACCCCGCCUCGCUGCCUCCCGGCGACCCGCAGCUCAUCGCUCUCAUAGUGGAGCAGCUCAAGAGCCGGGGCCUCUUUGACAGCUUCCGCCGGGACUGCCUGGCCGACGUGGACACAAAGCCAGCCCACCAACACCUGAGGCAGAAAGUGGAUAAUUUUGUGUCAACACAUCUGGACAAGCAGGAAUGGAAUCCUACAAUGAACAAAAACCAAUUGCGAAAUGGUCUGAGGCAGAAUGUGGUUCAGUCAGGGAUGUUGGAAGCUGGAGUAGACAGGAUUAUUUCUCAGGUGGUGGAUCCAAAACUAAACCACAUCUUCAGGCCACAAAUAGAACGAGCAAUUCAUGAGUUCCUGGCAGCCCAGAAAAAAGCAGCUGGGCCAGCACCCCCUCCAGAGCCCGACGGCCAGGACCCACCAGCUCCAUCUCAGGACACUUCCUAAGAAUAUGCCUGUCACCUUUUGAAAGCUCAAUUUUUGGCGAAGAAAUGGAUUCGGUUACAUAAGAGAGCAACUUCAGACUGAAGAUAGGCCAAGGUCAUCACUGGUCUAAAGAUUUCAACCUUGACUAUGGGCAGUAAACAGAUUGAAAGGGGAGCAAGUUCAGCAGCAGGGAAGCUGACCGUGUCACCCCCUGCAUUGUGCUGCCAUUUGGUCCUCUGUCCAGGGGUGUGACACCAAGUAGACACUACAGAGAGAGAAACACUACAGCAACCCAGGGUUUUCCUGAAACAGACUUUACUUGAACAUGGAGACUGCACAUGGACUUUAGGGUUUGUGCUCUGGGAGAAAUGAAAGCUACAGUGAGAGAACAGAACCAAUCCCAAAGACAGUUUGAAAGAACAAUGACAGUAAAGGUUAACUGGGGGUG